rnacentral:miRNA from 1 species
GGAGGAUGGGAGGGAGAAGUAACAAAACUGGAAAAAAAAAUUAAAAACCUGAAAUCUAUAUUUGAAAUUGUUUUCACUUUCAAAUUUUUGUUUUCACUUUUGUUACUUCCCCUCUCAUUCUCUCU